UUAAGUUCAGCGGGUAUUCCUACCUGAUCCGAGGUCAACCUUGCGUAAGAAAGGGGGUGUUUUACGGCCGGAACCCUCUGCACGGUCCAAAGCGAGAUGUAUAUUACUGCGCUCGGAGUGACAAAGAGCCCGCCACUGGUUAGGAGUGCGGACGGCCGCAGGGCCCCAACACAAGCUGAGCUUGAUGGUUGAAAUGACGC
rnacentral:misc_RNA from 1 species